rnacentral:rRNA from 1 species
AACGGACGCUGGCGGCAUGCCUAACACAUGCAAGUCGAACGAGACCUUCGGGUCUAGUGGCGCACGGGUGCGUAACGCGUGGGAGCCUGCCCUUAGGUUCGGAAUAACUCCCCGAAAGGGGUGCUAAUACCGGAUAAUGUCUUCGGACCAAAGAUUUAUCGCCUUUGGAUGGGCCCGCGUUGGAUUAGCUAGUUGGUAGGGUAAAAGCCUACCAAGGCGACGAUCCAUAGCUGGUCUGAGAGGAUGAUCAGCCACACUGGGACUGAGACACGGCCCAGACUCCUACGGGAGGCAGCAGUGGGGAAUACUGGACAAUGGGCGAAAGCCUGAUCCAGCAAUGCCGCGUGAGUGAUGAAGGCCUUAGGGUUGUAAAGCUCUUUUACCCGGGAUGAUAAUGACAGUACCGGGAGAAUAAGCUCCGGCUAACUCCGUG